GUGCUCGUUUCAGCAGCAUAUAUUAAAAUUGGAAUGAUACAGAGAAGAUCAGCAUGGUCCCUACUCAAGGAUGACAUGCAAAUUUGUGAAGUGUUCCAUUUACAA
rnacentral:snRNA from 1 species